UGCCCAAUAGCCAAGUGGUAAGGCGGUAGACUCUGAAUCUAUUAUGCGUUAGUUCGAAUCUAACUUGGGCAGCCA
rnacentral:tRNA from 3 species